rnacentral:rRNA from 1 species
UAGUCAUAUGCUUGUCCCAAAGAUUAAGCCAUGCAUGUGCAAGUAUAAGCUAAUAUACGGUGAAACUGCGAAAGGCUCAUUAAAUCAGCUAUAAUUUACUUGAUGAUUAAGCUACAUGGAUAACCGUGGUAAUUCUAGGGCUAAUACAUGCGGAUGGUCCGUAAAGGACGGCAUUUAUUGGAUUAAACCAACCCCCAUGCGGGAGCGGCGAGUCAAGAUAACUGGGCGGAUCGCAGGGCAUUGGCCGGCGACGCAUCAAACAAAUAACUGCCCUAUC